CCAAUAGCGUAUAUUAAAGUUGUUGCAUUUAAAAAGCUCGUAGUUGAAUUUCGGGAUUAGUACGUUGGUCGUGCCUUAGGUACGUACUGGUGUUACUGGUUCCUACCUUCUGACGACCCAUCAUGUCAUUAAUUUGGUGUGGCGGGGAAUCAGGACUGGUACUUUGAAAAAAUUAGAGUGUUUAAAGCAGGCUAUCGCUUGAAAACAUUAGCAUGGAUUAAUGAAAUAGGACGUUGACCCUAUUUUGUUGGUUUCUAGGAUUGACGUAAUUAUUAAUAGGGAUAGUUGGGGGCAUUAGUAUUCAAUUGUCAGAGGUGAAAUUCUUGGAUUUAUUGAAGACUAACUACUGCGAAAGCAUUUGCCAAGGAUGUUUUCAUUAAUCAAGAACGAAAGUUAGGGGAUCGAAGACGAUCAGAUACCGUCGUAGUCUUAACCAUAAACUAUGCCGACUAGGGAUCGGAUGAUGUUAAUUUUUUAAUGACUCAUUCGGCGCCUUACG
rnacentral:rRNA from 1 species